GAUGAACGCUGGCGGCGUGCCUAAUACAUGCAAGUCGAGCGAACAGACGAGGAGCUUGCUUCUCUGACGUUAGCGGCGGACGGGUGAGUAACACGUGGAUAACCUACCUAUAAGACUGGGAUAACUUCGGGAAACCGGAGCUAAUACCGGAUAAUAUAUUGAACCGCAUGGUUCAAUAGUGAAAGACGGUUUUGCUGUCACUUAUAGAUGGAUCCGCGCCGCAUUAGCUAGUUGGUAAGGUGACGGCUUACCAAGGCAACGAUGCGUAGCCGACCUGAGAGGGUGAUCGGCCACACUGGAACUGAGACACGGUCCAGACUCCUACGGGAGGCAGCAGUAGGGAAUCUUCCGCAAUGGGCGAAAGCCUGACGGAGCAACGCCGCGUGAGUGAUGAAGGUCUUCGGAUCGUAAAACUCUGUUAUUAGGGAAGAACAAAUGUGUAAGUAACUAUGCACGUCUUGACGGUACCUAAUCAGAAAGCCACGGCUAACUACGUG
rnacentral:rRNA from 1 species